rnacentral:rRNA from 1 species
UACAGAGGUGGCAAGCGUUGUUCGGAAUCACUGGGCAUAAAGGGCGCGUAGGCGGCUCCUCAAGUCAGGGGUGAAAUCCGGCAGCUUAACUGUCGAAGUGCCUUUGAUACUGGGGAGCUCGAGGGAGGUAGGGGUGUGUGGAACUUCCGGUGGGAGCGGUGAAAUGCGUUGAUAUCGGAAGGAACGCCGGUGGCGAAAGCGACGCACUGGACCUCUUCUGACGCUGAGGCGCGAAAGCCAGGGGAGCAAACGGG